CCCUGUAAUUUAGUGGUUUUCGUUUGUUUAUGUGUUACAUAUUUGUUCUUCGUUCAUUUUUUUUUAUAUAAAUAAGGCCUUAUUUAUAUAAAAAAAAUGAACGAAGAACAAAUAUGUAACACAUAAACAAACGAAAACCACUAAAUUUCAGGG
rnacentral:sRNA from 1 species